rnacentral:rRNA from 1 species
UAGCGUAUAUUAAAGUUGUUGCGGUUAAAAAGCUCGUAGUUGGAUUUCUGUUGAGGACAGCCGGUCCGCCCUUUGGGCGUGUAUCUGGUUUGGCCUCGGCAUCCUCCCGAAAUACGGCGCUGUGCUUGAUUGCAUGGUCCGGAGUUCGGGACUUUUACUUUGAGGAAAUUAGAGUGUUCACGGCAGGCGUACGCCCUGAAUAUAUUAGCAUGGAAUAAUAAUAUAGGAUUUGAUGCCUAUUUUGUUGGUUUCUAGGUGUUAAAUAAUGAUUAAUAGGGACAAUUGGGGGCAUUCGUAUUACGGCGUC